rnacentral:rRNA from 1 species
CCCAGACUCCUACGGGAGGCAGCAGUGGGGAAUCUUCCGCAAUGGGCGAAAGCCUGACGGAGCAACGCCGCGUGAUCGAAUGAAGGCCUUCGGGUUGUAAAGAUCUGUUGACAGGGACGAAUAGGCAAUGCGAAUAGUUUUGUGUAUGACGGUACCUGUUUAGAAAGCUCCGGCUAACUACGUGCCAGCAGCCGCGGUAAUACGUAGGGAGCAAGCGUUGUCCGGAAUUACUGGGCGUAAAGGGCGCGUAGGUGGGCGCUUAAGUCAGGUGUGAAAACUCCGGGCUCAACCUGGAGACUGCACUUGAAACUGCAUGGCUGGAGUGCGGGAGGGGCAGGCGGAAUUCCUGGUGUAGCGGUGAAAUGCGUAGAUAUCAGGAGGAACACCGGCGGCGAAGGCGGCCUGCUGGACCGCGACUGACGUUGAGGCUCGAAAGCGUGGGGAGCGAACAGGAUUAGAUACCCGAGUA